GAAAAAACCCCUGUUGCAACCCCCUUGUUGCAGCGUACAUGUGUUAAUACGCUUCAACAACCAGUCGGUCAACGCGGGUCAAACCCUUUAAAGGGUUAUUGCAGCGUACAAUUUAAUUGUUCCCUGCAAAAAAGUUUGUUGCAGCGUACAUUUUAAAAGCCCGCUGCAAUAGCUCGUUUUUGUUGCAGCGUACUUGUUAAAGCCCCCUGCAAUAACCCGGGUAAAAAAAAUUUCGCUGCAAUAUUCGUUGAAACUAAUUCAAAACAAAUUAAGCAUCUCUCACUCUCAACUCCCUUCUUCUCCCUUAACUUUCCCUGCGUCAUCCCCUCAAAAAAAAACCCUUUCUCUUCUUCGGUGGUUCUAGCCUCCUCGCCAGAGGCCACCUAUUAGCUUGCUCGGCCGUUGGUUCCAAGGAAAAACUUAGCUUGCUCGCGCCGGUGGUUUCAAGAAAGAAAGUUGCUCGCGUCCUAUUUUCCGUCAACCUCUUCGCCGCGGCUACCUGUCCCCUCUUUUAGGUUUGCUCGAUUCGUUUACCUGAUUUUUGUUUUAAGAAUUAGGGUUUUAAAAAUCAGAUCCUAAAGUGACGCGCCAAAUUUAGAAGCGAGAGAGAAAGAGAUUUAAUGGAAAAGGGAAUUGGGGAAGAAAAGGGUUUGGGUUGGCGCAGAGAUGCCCAUCGUCUAACUCGAAUAAAUGCACAUGAAUUCGACACCGGGAAGAAAUCCAGGUACAGUUUUUAUCAUCAUUCUGCCUUUUGAUUUCGAUUCCAAUUUCACAACUAGGUUUUGGUAUUGUAGAUGUCGAGUUGCAAUUUCUAAUCAAUUGGAAUUGCGGAACUUGAUUUUGGUGGAUUCAUACAUUUAAUUUUUUUUGUUUGUUUGAGUCCUAUUCUUGAUGUGCGGAAAAGGAAGGCGGUUCGAUUGAGCAAAGAUGUCGACUCCAAACGUCGCCAAAUUAACAAUGGAUGUGGGAUUGGAUAAUGAAACAUGAGCCGGUGGUUUCAAGAAAGAAAGUUGCUCGCGUCCUAUUUUCCGUCAACCUCUUCGCCGCGGCUACCUGUCCCCUCUUUUAGGCUGUCGUUCAUAGAGCUAAGAACUCAAAAUAUUCAGCUGAUGAGGAUAUGGAGGAGACAGAUGUUAAAGAUCCAAAUUUAA